UACGUAGGGGGCUAGCGUUGUCCGGAUUUAUUGGGCGUAAAGAGCGUGUAGGCGGCCAGGUAGGUCUGGUGUGAAAACUCGAGGCUUAACCUCGAGAUGUCAUCGGAAACCAUCUGGCUAGAGUCCGGAAGAGGAGAGUGGAAUUCCUGGUGUAGUGGUGAAAUGCGCAGAUAUCAGGAAGAACACCAAUGGCGAAAGCAGCUCUCUGGGACGGUACUGACGCUGAGACGCGAAAGCGUGGGGAGCAAACAGG
rnacentral:rRNA from 1 species